GUUGCAGCAGAUGAAUGGCUCAACGUCUUAUUGGACAUAAUAAAAGUGUUGCCAAUAAACGUGCUUCACACUGAGGUUUUGCCGAUUGCUGUCAACAAAGCGCAUAUCUCCAAGCCUGUUCACGUCCGAGUAACCAGCUGUCGCAUCCUCGGCCAUCUUGCUCUCUCGUUUUCAGCUGCACAAGUCAAGAGAGACAUCAUCCCCGUGGUGAUCUCUCUGUGUCAGGAUGUCUCCGGAGAGGUGCGAGCAGCCAUGAGCAAGGAGUUGCCCAAUCUC